AGCGAACGUUAGCGGCGCGCCUAACACAUGCAAGUCGCACGAGGUAGCAAUACCUAGUGCCGCACGGGUGCGUAACACGUAGAUAAUCUGCCCUUCAGCGGGGGAUAACGUUCCGAAAGGAGCGCUAAUACCGCAUACAGCAUUUAGUGGUUCGCCACUGGAUGGCAAAGGCUGGGAUCUUCGGACCAGUCACUGAAGGAGGAGUCUGCGGCCCAUCAGCUAGUUGGGGAGGUAAUGGCUCACCAAGGCAAAGACGGGUAGCUGGUCUGAGAGGAUGAUCAGCCACACUGGUACUGGAACACGGACCAGACUCCUACGGGAGGCAGCAGUGGGGAAUCUUGGUCAAUGGGCGCAAGCCUGAACCAGCGACGCCGCGUGAGUGAUGAAGGCCUUCGGGUUGUAAAGCUCUGUGGGGAGAGACGAAAGAAUCGGUUCUAACAGGACCGAGGUUGACGGUAUCUCCUUAGCAAGCACCGGCUAACUCUGUGCCAGCAGCCGCGGUAAGACAGAGGGUGCAAACGUUGCUCGGAAUCACUGGGCGUAAAGGGCGUGUAGGCGGACGUGUAAGUCGGGC
rnacentral:rRNA from 1 species